rnacentral:rRNA from 1 species
GACGAACGCUGGCGGCGUGCUUAACACAUGCAAGUCGAACGGAAAGGCCUGCUUUCCCUUGUGGAUUGCGGGUACUCGAGUGGCGAACGGGUGAGUAACACGUGAGUGAUCUGCCCCCAACUUGGGUAUAAGCCUGGGAAACUGGGUCUAAUUCCCGAUAGGACUGCAGGGUGGUGCCUGUGGUGGAAAACGAUUUUCUAGUGGUUGGGGAUGAGCUCGCGGCCUAUCAGCUUGUUGGUGGGGUAACGGCCUACAAAGGCGGCGACGGGUAGCCGGCCUGAGAGGGUGGACGGCCACAUUGGGACUGAGAUACGGCCCAGACUCCUACGGGAGGCAGCAGUGGGGAAUAUUGCACCAUGGGCGGAAGCCUGAUGCAGCGACGCCGCGUGGGGGAUGACGGCCUUCGGGUUGUAAACUCCUUUCGACCGCGAGGAAGCCACCUGGUUGGAAGGGUGGUGACGGUAGUGGUAGAAGAAGCACCGGCUAACUACGUG